UGGGGAAUAUUGCGCAAUGGGGGCAACCCUGACGCAGCAACGCCGCGUGCAGGAAGAAGGUCUUCGGAUUGUAAACUGUUGUCGCAAGGGAAGAAGACAGUGACGGUACCUUGUGAGAAAGUCACGGCUAACUACGUGCCAGCAGCCGCGGUAAUACGUAGGUGACAAGCGUUGUCCGGAUUUACUGGGUGUAAAGGGCGCGUAGGCGGACUGUCAAGUCAGUCGUGAAAUACCGAAGCUUAACUUCGGGGCUGCGAUUGAAACUGACAGCCUUGAGUAUCGGAGAGGAAAGCGGAAUUCCUAGUGUAGCGGUGAAAUGCGUAGAUAUUAGGAGGAACACCAGUGGCGAAGGCGGCUUUCUGGACGACAACUGACGCUGAGGCGCGAAAGUGUGGGGAGCAAACAGGAUGAGAUACCC
rnacentral:rRNA from 1 species